rfam:Erinaceus europaeus unplaced genomic scaffold scaffold00117, whole genome shotgun sequence
AGCUUUGCGCAGUGGCAGUACCAUAGCCAAUGAGGUUUAUCCUAGGCGUGAUUAUUGCUAAUUGAAAGAAAUUCUUGUGCUGAACAUUGUGUAUGCUUGAUUUUCUUCUGUCACUUGAUGUUCCUAAACUUGCUUGAGUAUAAUUAUU